rnacentral:hammerhead_ribozyme from 1 species
GAACUGCUGAUGAGUCCCAAACAGGAGGACACAUCUUGUCCAGUGU